GAAAGGAUUUAUUCGGUAAAAGAUGGGCCCGCAUCUGAUUAGCUAGUUGGUGAGAUAAUAGCCCACCAAGGCAACGAUCAGUAGCCGACCUGAGAGGGUGACCGGCCACAUUGGGACUGAGACACGGCCCAAACUCCUACGGGAGGCAGCAGUGGGGAAUAUUGCACAAUGGGGGAAACCCUGAUGCAGCAACGCCGCGUGAAGGAAGACGGUUUUCGGAUUGUAAACUUCUAUCAAUAGGGAAGAAAGAAAUGACGGUACCUAAAUAAGAAGCCCCGGCUAACUACGUGCCAGCAGCCGCGGUAAUACGUAGGGGGCAAGCGUUAUCCGGAAUUACUGGGUGUAAAGGGAGAGUAGGCGGCAAGGUAAGCGAUAUGUGAAAGCCUUAGGCUUAACCUGAGGAUAGCAUAACGAACUAUCUAGCUAGAGUACAGGAGAGGAAAGCGGAAUUCUUAGUGUAGCGGUGAAAUGCGUAGAUAUUAGGAAGAACACCAGUGGCGAAGGCGGCUUUCUGGACUGAAACUGACGCUGAGGCUCGAAAGCGUGGGGAGCGAACAGGAUUAGAUACCCUGGUAGUCCACGCUGUAAACGAUGAGUGCUAGGUGUCGGGGAGGAAUCCUCG
rnacentral:rRNA from 1 species